CGGGAUUUCGGCGUCCAAAAGCUAGGUAGGGUCGGGAAACCGGAAACCCAUAUAUAUUUUUUUGCCCUAUACACAUUUCCUAUGUACAAUCCCAGGCCCAAAUUCUUCGUAUUCAGAUGACGUAAUCCACAUUGAUUGGAAGUUAGAUAACUUUGAUAACAUAGCACCGCCUUGCCACGUCAGCGUAUUUCGGUCCUCGACCGCGUUAAUGUUGAUGCUGUCUGGAGUCCUGGUACCUAACAGUUUACACAACUCGACGUGCAGACGACGAGAGAAGCCGGAAAACAUUGUCGAGCCACCU
rnacentral:lncRNA from 1 species